ACUGAUUGUCGCUAAAGCUUUUAUUUUAUUGUAAAGUUAAGUAAGUUCUCUUUAAAACAAAAGCUGUGACAUCUCUGAUAUUUUUAGUUUGAUUUUUUCAGAUCAAUUGUCGGCAGUUCCAGAGCUCUCUUCAUUGAACUUGAGUCCAUUCUUUAAAUCUUCUCUUCCUAUUGAACUCACUGAAUCUGAGACUGAGUUUGUUGUUAGAUGCAUUAAACACACAUUCACUAACCACAUUGAGUUGCAGUUUGACUGUACGAACACUUUGUUAGAUCAAGUGUUGGAGAACGUUUAUGUUCAGGUUGACCCCAGUGAAGGUUUUAAAGUGGUCUGUUACUCUCCUUGCUCAAAAUUACAGUACAGUGCUCCUGGUGCAGCAUAUGCCUGCAUCAGCUUACCCAAUGAUACUUUAGUUGGUGAAAGGGAAGUUUGGUAAAUUAGGUAAGGAUGUUGUCUGUUCAUUACCAGUUGAAGAUGUUGUGUUAUCAGAAUCUAAAAAGCUGUUGAUUAGACUGUGUAAUGAAAUCAAUAGGUUCUCCUCAUUCAGUGUUUGCUCCUUACUGGUCUAAAACUCUUCAAAAAAUUUUUACGAAAUGAGUGCAUUAUGUUUUAAUGAAAAUUAUGUUGAAAAUUAUUUCACAAGUAUUUAUUUGUGCAAGGAAAGCAAGUUUGGGAAAGAAGAUUUUUUUUGCUGGUUUAGUUAUCCACCGUAUACUUUUGCAAUGUGCAGUUACAGAGAAAAGAAGUCGGAACCUACGGAAAUGAUGCAGCUGGAUGGAUAUACUGUAGAUUAUGUUAAACCAGUGCUUGAUCUUGAAGGUGGGAGGUUUUUUUUUCAAUGCGGUCAAGGAAGGUGAUAGACAAUGAAAAUGGGUGCCAUCUAUGGGUCAUGGCUAUGUACAGGACUACCUACCAUGUGAGCACAUUCAACAUCAAACCAGCAAAAACUCUACCAUAUCUAAGUUACAAGGAGGAUACAAGGACCUCAAGAUAAUACCACAAGGAUCCACCAUCACAAGAUGAAGUAGUAAAGGGCCACUUCUGUCUCAGGCACCCCGACCAACCGAGUUUUCAAAUUUUGGGUAAUUUUUA